GGAUGUGCAGUUCCACCAGGUGUUUGCCAAUUGCUGCAGCCACCAGUCUGAAGGGGCUGAGUGGGGAAGUUAACUGACAUUUUCAUUC